GACAGAGGAGGCGAGCGUUAUCCGGAGUUAUUGGGCGCAAAGGGUACGUAGGCGGCUGGUAAAGUCUGGGGUUAAAGACCACAGCUUAACUGUGGGGGGGCCUUGGAGACUGACCGGCUGGAGUGGGGCAGGGGUUGCGGGAAUUCCCGGUGUAACGGUGAAAUGCGUAGAUAUCGGGAAGAACACCUGAGGCGAAAGCGCGCAACUGGGCCCUAACUGACGCUGAGGUACGAAAGCUAGGGGAGCGAAUGGG
rnacentral:rRNA from 1 species